rnacentral:misc_RNA from 1 species
AGAAGGAUGAAAUUAAAUGGCCAGCUAGUUUGGGAGCUUUAUGUAGAAACUUCCUUGGUUUUUAGUUAAUGGUCCAUAAGAUGUUUUUCUAUUAUUUCCAAAAUUUUCCCUAAACUUUAUAAUCUUUUCAAACUAGUCAUUUAAUCUUUUAUUUAUCCCUUAACUUAUUGAUUAUUUUACUUUAGUCCUCUAACUCUUAGUG